rnacentral:rRNA from 1 species
GGAUGAACGCUGGCGGCGUGCUUAACACAUGCAAGUCGAACGGUGAACACGGAGCUUGCUCUGUGGGAUCAGUGGCGAACGGGUGAGUAACACGUGAGCAACCUGCCCCUGACUCUGGGAUAAGCGCUGGAAACGGCGUCUAAUACUGGAUAUGUGACGUGACCGCAUGGUCUGCGUCUGGAAAGAAUUUCGGUUGGGGAUGGGCUCGCGGCCUAUCAGCUUGUUGGUGAGGUAAUGGCUCACCAAGGCGUCGACGGGUAGCCGGCCUGAGAGGGUGACCGGCCACACUGGGACUGAGACACGGCCCAGACUCCUACGGGAGGCAGCAGUGGGGAAUAUUGCACAAUGGGCGCAAGCCUGAUGCAGCAACGCCGCGUGAGGGACGACGGCCUUCGGGUUGUAAACCUCUUUUAGCAGGGAAGAAGCGAAAGUGACGGUACCUGCAGAAAAAGCGCCGGCUAACUACGUGCCAGCAGCCGCGGUAAUACGUAGGGCGCAAGCGUUAUCCGGAAUUAUUGGGCGUAAAGAGCUCGUAGGCGGUUUGUCGCGUCUGCUGUGAAAUCCGGAGGCUCAACCUCCGGCCUGCAGUGGGUACGGGCAGACUAGAGUGCGGUAGGGGAGAUUGGAAUUCCUGGUGUAGCGGUGGAAUGCGCAGAUAUCAGGAGGAACACCGAUGGCGAAGGCAGAUCUCUGGGCCGUAACUGACGCUGAGGAGCGAAAGGGUGGGGAGCAAACAGGCUUAGAUACCCUGGUAGUCCACCCCGU